rnacentral:rRNA from 1 species
GCUACACAUGCAGUCGAGCGGCAGCGGAAGUAGCUUGCUACUUUGCCGGCGAGCGGCGGACGGGUGAGUAAUGUCUGGGAAACUGCCUGAUGGAGGGGGAUAACUACUGGAAACGGUAGCUAAUACCGCAUGACCUCGAAAGAGCAAAGUGGGGGAUCUUCGGACCUCACGCCAUCGGAUGUGCCCAGAUGGGAUUAGCUAGUAGGUGAGGUAAUGGCUCACCUAGGCGACGAUCCCUAGCUGGUCUGAGAGGAUGACCAGCCACACUGGAACUGAGACACGGUCCAGACUCCUACGGGAGGCAGCAGUGGGGAAUAUUGCACAAUGGGCGCAAGCCUGAUGCAGCCAUGCCGCGUGUGUGAAGAAGGCCUUAGGGUUGUAAAGCACUUUCAGCGAGGAGGAAGGCANCAUACUUAAUACGUGUGGUGAUUGACGUUACUCGCAGAAGAAGCACCGGCUAACUCCGUGCCAGCAGCCGCGGUAAUACGGAGGGUGCAAGCGUUAAUCGGAAUUACUGGGCGUAAAGCGCACGCAGGCGGUUUGUUAAGUCAGAUGUGAAAUCCCCGCGCUUAACGUGGGAACUGCAUUUGAAACUGGCAAGCUAGAGUCUUGUAGAGGGGGGUAGAAUUCC